GAUGAACGCUGGCGGCGUGCCUAAUACAUGCAAGUCGAGCGAACAGAUGAGGAGCUUGCUCCUCUGACGUUAGCGGCGGACGGGUGAGUAACACGUGGAUAACCUACCUAUAAGACUGGGAUAACUUCGGGAAACCGGAGCUAAUACCGGAUAAUAUAUUGAACCGCAUGGUUCAAUAGUGAAAAACGGUUUUGCUGUCACUUAUAGAUGGAUCCGCGCCGCAUUAGCUAGUUGGUAAGGUAACGGCUUACCAAGGCAACGAUGCGUAGCCGACCUGAGAGGGGGAUCGGCCACACGGGAACUGAGACACGGUCCAGACUCCUACGGGAGGCAGCAGUAGGGAAUCUUCCGCAAUGGGCGAAAGCCUGACGGAGCAACGCCGCGUGAGUGAUGAAGGUCUUCGGAUCGUAAAACUCUGUUAUUAGGGAAGAACAAAUGUGUAAGUAACUAUGCACGUCUUGACGGUACCUAAUCAGAAAGCCACGGCUAACUACGUG
rnacentral:rRNA from 1 species